rnacentral:rRNA from 1 species
AUAAUGGGUCAGCGACUUAUAUUCUGUAGCAAGGUUAACCGAAUAGGGGAGCCGAAGGGAAACCGAGUCUUAACUGGGCGUUAAGUUGCAGGGUAUAGACCCGAAACCCGGUGAUCUAGCCAUGGGCAGGUUGAAGGUUGGGUAACACUAACUGGAGGACCGAACCGACUAAUGUUGAAAAAUUAGCGGAUGACUUGUGGCUGGGGGUGAAAGGCCAAUCAAACCGGGAGAUAGCUGGUUCUCCCCGAAAGCUAUUUAGGUAGCGCCUCGUGAAUUCAUCUCCGGGGGUAGAGCACUGUUUCGGCAAGGGGGUCAUCCCGACUUACCAACCCGAUGCAAACUGCGAAUACCGGAGAAUGUUAUCACGGGAGACACACGGCGGGUGCUAACGUCCGUCGUGAAGAGGGAAACAACCCAGACCGCCAGCUAAGGUCCCAAAGUCAUGGUUAAGUGGGAAACGAUGUGGGAAGGCCCAGACAGCCAGGAUGUUGGCUUAGAAGCAGCCAUCAUUUAAAGAAAGCGUAAUAGCUCACUGGUCGAGUCGGCCUGCGCGGAAGAUGUAACGGGGCUAAACCAUGCACCGAAGCUGCGGCAGCGACGCUGAUGCGUUGUUGGGUAGGGGAGCGUUCUGUAAGCCUGCGAAGGUGUGCUGUGAGGCAUGCUGGAGGUAUCAGAAGUGCGAAUGCUGACAUAAGUAACGAUAAAGCGGGUGAAAAGCCCGCUCGCCGGAAGACCAAGGGUUCCUGUCCAACGUUAAUCGGGGCAGGGUGAGUCGACCCCUAAGGCGAGGCCGAAAGGCGUAGUCGAUGGGAAACAGGUUAAUAUUCCUGUACUUGGUGUUACUGCGAAGGGGGGACGGAGAAGGCUAUGUUGGCCGGGCGACGGUUGUCCCGGUUUAAGCGUGUAGGCUGGUUUUCCAGGCAAAUCCGGAAAAUCAAGGCUGAGGCGUGAUGACGAGGCACUACGGUGCUGAAGCAACAAAUGCCCUGCUUCCAGGAAAAGCCUCUAAGCAUCAGGUAACAUCAAAUCGUACCCCAAACCGACACAGGUGGUCAGGUAGAGAAUACCAAGGCGCUUGAGAGAACUCGGGUGAAGGAACUAGGCAAAAUGGUGCCGUAACUUCGGGAGAAGGCACGCUGAUAUGUAGGUGAAGCGACUUGCUCGUGGAGCUGAAAUCAGUCGAAGAUACCAGCUGGCUGCAACUGUUUAUUAAAAACACAGCACUGUGCAAACACGAAAGUGGACGUAUACGGUGUGACGCCUGCCCGGUGC